UAGAGUUUGAUCCUGGCUCAGAUUGAACGCUGGCGGCACGCCUUACACAUGCAAGUCGAACGGCAGCAUGAUCUAGCUUGCUAGAUUGAUGGCGAGUGGCGAACGGGUGAGUAAUACAUCGGAACGUGCCCUGUAGUGGGGGAUAACUAGUCGAAAGAUUAGCUAAUACCGCAUACGACCUGAGGGUGAAAGUGGGGGACCGCAAGGCCUCAUGCUAUAGGAGCGGCCGAUGUCUGAUUAGCUAGUUGGUGAGGUAAAGGCUCACCAAGGCGACGAUCAGUAGCUGGUCUGAGAGGACGAUCAGCCACACUGGGACUGAGACACGGCCCAGACUCCUACGGGAGGCAGCAGUGGGGAAUUUUGGACAAUGGGGGCAACCCUGAUCCAGCAAUGCCGCGUGUGUGAAGAAGGCCUUCGGGUUGUAAAGCACUUUUGUCCGGAAAGAAAUCGCACUUACUAAUAUUAGGUGUGGAUGACGGUACCGGAAGAAUAUGGACCGGCUAACUACGUGCCAGCAGCCCCGGUCA
rnacentral:rRNA from 1 species